rnacentral:rRNA from 1 species
UACGUAGGGGGCUAGCGUUGCUCGGAAUCACUGGGCGUAAAGGGCGCGUAGGCGGCUUAUCAAGUCGGGGGUGAAAGCCUGUGGCUCAACCACAGAAUUGCCUUCGAUACUGUUAGGCUUGAGACCGGAAGAGGUUAGUGGAACUGCGAGUGUAGAGGUGAAAUUCGUAGAUAUUCGCAAGAACACCAGUGGCGAAGGCGGCUGACUGGUCCGGUUCUGACGCUGAGGCGCGAAAGCGUGGGGAGCAAACAGG